rnacentral:rRNA from 1 species
GAUGAACGCUGGCGGCGUGCCUAAUACAUGCAAGUCGAGCGAACGGACGAGAAGCUUGCUUCUCUGAUGUUAGCGGCGGACGGGUGAGUAACACGUGGAUAACCUACCUAUCAGACUGGGAUAACUUCGGGAAACCGUAGCUAAUACCGGAUAAUAUUUUGAACCGCAUGGUUCAAUAGUGAAAGACGGUCUUGCUGUCACUUAUAGAUGGAUCCGCGCUGCAUUAGCUAGUUGGUAAGGUAACGGCUUACCAAGGCAACGAUGCAUAGCCGACCUGAGAGGGUGAUCGGCCACACUGGAACUGAGACACGGUCCAGACUCCUACGGGAGGCAGCAGUAGGGAAUCUUCCGCAAUGGGCGAAAGCCUGACGGAGCAACGCCGCGUGAGUGAUGAAGGUCUUCGGAUCGUAAAACUCUGUUAUUAGGGAAGAACAUAUGUGUAAGUAACUGUGCACAUCUUGACGGUACCUAAUCAGAAAGCCACGGCUAACUACGUG